GUUUUCUAGAUGAAUAAAAAUGAUAACAAUGAGCGCCAAACCUUCCCUUGGCUGCCUGCACUGCAAGGACACGGGGGGACCCUCGGGCCGGGGACGCCGCGAAGCCGCUUUCGGAGGGGGUCGAGAUUCGGUAAUAUCCAUCCCCUUUAACUUUGUUGUUUCUGAGAAAGGAGAUGGAAUACUCUCAAAAGCAGAGAAAUACACAUGCAGUAAGAAGUACAAUGUACACAUAUACGUGUACUGAAAAGUUAAGUGUCUGCAGAACAUUCAACCAUAAUUAAGGAUGAAAUCUCUUCUGAACUCCACUCUUUUUGGCUGCACGAGAUGACCUGCUGGUGGCUUCAUUUAAUGAGAAUCACCCCACAGAGCUUCUGUCUUCAUAGUUCUGGGAUGAAGAAAUAAAGAAUGCGAAAACUAUGAAUGCUGAGAAAGCUAACAUUUUUCUUAUUCCACUGAUUUACUAACCAAAUGUGGAAUGCUUGUCAUCUGGAGCAGGCCUAUGGUACUAUCUCAGCGGUAUGAUGUUAUGAAUGAAGAACUUAAUGAUAAUGGUUCCUAACAGUCUGCAGGCUGGUGGUGAUCCAUGGUUGCCUGGAUGCAGGAUCCAGUCAUUGGUUCAAUGUCAUUUUUUUCAUAUCACUCUUGGUGAGAGACACCCAGGUAUCUUCUGGUGAUGCCUUAAGCGUGGGUAUAUGUCUGUUACAUGUGGCUCAUUCUUUCUCCCAUUCUUCUUUUCCGUUGCUCCAUUUUGCUAGGGCUGAAUGCAGA